rnacentral:lncRNA from 12 species
GUGUUACUGGUUUAUCUUUUUCCUAAAUUAAAAUCUCUUAUGUCUUUAGUGUUCAGAUAGUAACACAUACUGAUUAAUAAUAAUAUAUUAAAAGUUCAAGACUAAGCAGGAAAAAGAGCUAGAGGCAGUUGAGAAAGAUAUUAUUCUCUUCAUUUAAUAGGGAUUAAAUAAGGUAGAUGAGAAGUUAAGUGAGUUUAUAAAGAUUGUUUAAUAAAUAAGUGGCAAAAAUGGUAUUCAAAGCUAGUUUUUUCUCCAAAUCCUAUGCUUUUUCUAUAGUGUAUCUAAAUCAAUAUUUUUAUUUUUUUUAAUCAAUAGUUAGAAAUACAUUUAUACUGUGUUUUAGGUUCAUGUAGGUUUACUCAAGAAUGUAUUUAUUUCAAUCUAUCUCUGAAGAUUUUCCAAUAUUCUCUUCCCACCAUAUUAAACUUUAUGUGAUCAUAAAUUUUUAAGUUGCUGACUUAAAUUUUACACUUGAUGUGAAAAUAGAUAUUUGCAGUAAAUAGGAGGAGUAAAAUUUCUGAAAUAACAUUGAGGUACUAACCACUGAUGCUAGACAUUCCCAAAUAGUUGAAUUAUAUUUAGACCAGAAGAUGGCAUAAGAGCUAUAGCAAUGGAAAAUUACAUGCAACAGAUUGUGGACUUUCUUAAAGGAUUGCAUUGUAAACCAGCGUAUAUGUUAUGUAAUUAUCUAUUUUUCUGAUAAAAGGAAGCAUUCUUUAUCCUGUGAAAAUUUAUACUACUCUUAAAUUACAUAAUAACUACAGACAAAAACAUAUAACACAAACGUACACACACAAAUCAAAAUUAAAACCACUCAAAUUUCACAAUUCAGAGACAACUAUCUCUAACACAUUAAACAUCUGGGGGUUGGGAGCAAUGUGCAUGCUUUAGAAAGCCAUGUUUUUAUGCCUCAGUCCAAGUUCUAUUCCUUUAGGAAUGGUUCUUCCCUGCAGGAUCAGAGUUUAUGCCUGGAAAGGCAGGAUUCAUAUCCAGAAGACCUAAAUCAGUCCUGAAAGUACAGAGUGCUGGUUGCCUGCAUAUAAGAAAUAGAAGUGGUCUCCUGAGAGCGGUCCACCCACAUGCAGAGGCCUUCUCUUCUACUCACGUUUUUACGACGGCGGAGUUGACUCCUGGUUUGGCUGCCGAUCAUGGGUUGCCUGGAACUUGCCCUGCAGCCUCCAGUGUGGCUUCCGACUCCUCCUCCAGAUCUUGA